rnacentral:misc_RNA from 1 species
AACUUGUUGCAAUGUAUCACUUGGUUCUGGCAUCGAUUAAGAACGCAGCGAAAUGCGAUAAGUAGUGUGAAUUGCAGAAUUCAGUGAAUCAUCGAAUCUUUGAACGCACAUUGCGCCCCUUGGUAUCCCGAGGGGCAUGCCUGUUCGAGCGUCAUUUCACCACUCAAGCCUAGCUUGGUGUUGGGCGACGUCCCUUUGGGACGCGCCUCGAAACGCUCGGCGGCGUGGCACCGGCUUUAAGCGUAGCAGAAUCUUUCGCUUUGAAGGUCGGGGCCCCGUCUGCCGGAAGACCUACUCGCAAGGUUGACCUCGGAUCAGGUAGGGAUACCCGCUGAACUUAAGCAUAUCAAUAAGCGGAGGCU